AUUGAACGCUGGCGGCAUGCCUUACACAUGCAAGUCGAACGGUAACAGGCCGCAAGGUGCCGACGAGUGGUGAACGGGUGAGUAAUGCUUCGGAAUGUGUCCAGUCGUGGGGGAUAACUACUCGAAAGAGUAGCUAAUACCGCAUACGAUCUAUUACUGACAGCGGGGGACCGCAAGGGCUCGUGCGAUUUUAGCGGCCGAUGUCAGAUAAGGUAGUUGGUGGGGGAAAGGCUAGCCAAGCCAAAGAUCUGCAGCGGGUCGGAGGGGACAUCAGGCCACACUGAAAUUGGAACACGGCCCGAACUCCAACGGAGGGCGGCGGUGGGAAUUUUGGACAAAGGGCGCAAGCCUGAUCCAGCAAUGCCGCGUGCGUGAAGAAGGCCUUCGGGUUGUAAACUGCUUUUGUUCGGAACGAAACGGCUCUGGUUAAUACCCGGGUGUAAUGACGGUACCGAAAGAAUAAGCACCGGCUAACUACGUG
rnacentral:rRNA from 1 species